UACAGAGGGUGCGAGCGUUGUCCGGAAUCACUGGGCGUAAAGAGCUCGUAGGCGGUUUGUCGCGUCUGCUGUGAAAACCCGAGGCUCAACCUCGGGCCUGCAGUGGGUACGGGCAGACUAGAGUGCGGUAGGGGAGAUUGGAAUUCCUGGUGUAGCGGUGGAAUGCGCAGAUAUCAGGAGGAACACCGAUGGCGAAGGCAGGUCUCUGGGCCAUAACUGACGCUGAGAAGCGAAAGCAUGGGGAGCGAACAGG
rnacentral:rRNA from 1 species